AGUAUAAUUGAAACUUAGAAGAACAUAAAACUUAUCUCUUUAAUUUAAUUUUUAUUAGUUUUCGAACCUAUAUAAUAUUUGAAAAAGUGCUCUCUUUCACACUUUACUUUCUAAUUUCAGAGACAAACGGCAUCACAUCUUUAGAAAACUCAAGAUGAGAAUCUUUUUACUUCUACUUUUCGUCGCCAUGCUUGGCACUGCAAUUGGCGCCCAAAUCACAGCCUGCAGACUUCAACGCAAAUCAGCUAAAGGAGAUGACUUCAAGCCAAGGUGUAAUAAACAAGGAGACUACGCUCAAAUUCAAUGCCGAUCUGGAUUCUGCUGGUGUGCUAACAAACAAGGUGAAAUGCUCACAAAAUCCCAGAAAGGAAAACCAGAUUGCUCCGGCAAACCAUACUAAGAAAAUCUUACUUUUCUGAAAUUGUAAUAAAGUUCUGUAGCUGAAAAGUAAA